UGGAGAGAGGGAGGGGUGGGACUGGGGGACACUAGCCAGAGAGGAGGUGGGGUGACUGGGCUGACUGAUUUUUUGUCCUCCACCACCCCUCAUCAGCUGUGGUGCCGUACUGAGGAGAAAAGAGAUGCAGUACUGUACCAUAUCACAUCAGGCCCACUAUGAACUAUUUACUGAAGGCAAAAAACAACAGAUCCUUUUAUGAAUUUUACUUCCAGAUCUUUCUGAUAAGCAGACACAAAAAUACUAGGGUGGCUAGCUACAUUUUAAUGGUCAAUUCAGAAAGGUUGCUUUAUACAUAGUUGAAUGCAUGGUGCUUUUUAAUCUAGCUGGCCCGGUCCCUAGAGAUGUGUGCAGAGCAAACCAAGGUCUCUGAUUGGCCUAUGGUGGGUUUGUACUGUGAAAGUAUGACAGUUGUAUUGAUGUGUUUCUGGGCGGAGGAAAUGUACAGUCCUACUCCACAGUCUUUGGAUGAAAUGCCAAAAAUAUAAUCAGACAAAGGUUUAUGUCAAAUCUCUCAGUAACAUUUUUUAAAAUAUUUUGCAUAUUUGACAAUAACCCUUCCACACACACAUUUGUUUAAUCUAUUUUAAGAAUAGGGGUUGCUGAAGGGAUUCAAGAUUUCUGCUUUUCAAAUUAGUUUGUUAUCAUGUGGUUACCUUUAUAAAGAUGUUCAUUCCACUGGUUGGACUGGCUGAUGUAAUGGGCAUGUUUGCCAGCCUUGAGAGCAGUUGACCAUUUGAAUGGUCCAGCUUGGGCUGGGAGGGAUGGACGAUCAGGGUUGGUCAACGACACGGGGGGAAGAGUUAAGCCACCCCAUCUUGUGAUUGGUGGAUUGUUGUUUCUUUGCCAGGCUUACACCCCAUCUUCUCCCUUUCUCCCGCCCCUCUCUACAAGUUCCUAGAACAGGCAGUGUGUUAGAGAAUAGGGGUGUGUGGCUUCACUGAACAAUCAUAUUUGAUUGUGUUUGACUGCCACCAGCUCAGGCCCCCAACCCUUCUCACCCCACCAGUACACCCCUCCCCCAACACACAUUUCGUAUUAGCAGGAUUACCGUGGUUACACUGUUCGCUAUUGUUAACCCUCUCUGUUGUUUAACCAUACAACCAAAAGGUCUCCCCACAGUCGUUCCCAGAAAACGUUCUGGAUUUGGAACCGCAUACCUAGGAUUCAAUAUCGCAAUGAACCACCUCUUUCAAUGGUCAUUAUUAAGUUUAGUGGUUCGUUCAUGCACUACCAUUUGUGAUGGUUAAAUGAAGGAUGUACAUGUAUGUUACAGUAUGUUAGUAAGUAUGUUACGUGAUAUAUGGAAGGAAGUGAGUGUUAAGGGGAAGAAGUAAACAUUAGAAUACUGAGUCACAGGUGUUCACAGGUUUAGGCUGCACCUACAGUACAGUAACUGUUCUCUAGGGUUCCCAUGCUGUACCCUAGCUCUAUCACGCAGUCAGUCACAACAGGCUGGUCCCAGUCUUACUCACAGCCCCAGUGCUUCUGCUCAGCCCAGAUGACUUGUUUCUGUGAUUGACAUCACUGUGCCUUGUCUGUACUGACUUGUAUCACACACACAUACUGUUGUAGCCACAGGCCCCUAAGUAGAUGUCUAUGUCUCAGUGGACACAGACACCUCCCUGGUUGUGUGCUUGCCUUUUAUUGUUGAUGUGCGCCAUACAUGUAUGUUUUGUAGCCAACUAUCAUUUCCAUGUAUGGUGCUUGGCACAAGAGUUGGCUUCAGUACUUAUAGUUUGGCUAUAAUGGACCUGUAGUACCAGGCCUACAUCGGGCAUAAUAACCAGUCCACUUUACAUGGUUCCGGAUCCUGUGUAAUACUGCAUCGCAGUUUACAUUAGCUCUGUAUUUAAACUGUUGCAAUGUUUUAAAACAUUUCCCAAACAUUGACUCAUACAGUUGUUGCUUCUUUUUUAAUUCAUUAUUUAAUUUGUUGUUUUAUUUGUAUGAAGGCUUUGGUUGUAAAUGUGACAUGAUCUCUAGAACUUAUCCCACCACACUUACUCUAGUGCUCUGUAUGUAUAAUGAUGCUCUGCAGUACUUUGCUUGGUUAAUGUGUAUCUAAAACAUGAUCGCUGGGUGUUAUCAAUAACAGUAGAGGGUGAAAGCCUGCUCAUUCAGCUGGGUACUAUAGCUCUGUUUCAGGAUCCACAUUAGCAUCUUAGUUAGAAUGAAUAUGAAUGAUUAUUUGAUGGAUCAGCCAUGUUAUGGAUUGUAUAAGUUUGACAUGGAUGUGUGUGUGUCCAGAUUCUAAAUAGUAUACUAGUAUGGUUAUUGUAACAGAGCCCGUUCUGUGUGUGGAUAGAAUGUGGUAGAUUUGGGUUGGAUGAAGUGGAGGUGAUGGGUGUUGAGCACUUUCCUGAAUUAUACAAUAGUCCCGUGCCUCUCCUCAUUGUGGCAGGUGUAACUUCACACCCAUGGGACAGCAGCCACAUCCUCCUGCUGCACCGAGGCAGGAUGUGAAGUAAAACCCACCCCAUGCACUACCCCAAGGUGGAAAAGCUGUCAGUUCUCUCCAAGCCCAGGGAACUGAGUGUGUGUGUGUGUGUGUGUGUGUGUGUCUGAAUGUCUGGAGGGGGCCCAAAUAUAUAUAUAUAUAUAAUAUAGUAUUUUAGUAGAAUAGACCUUCAACUGCUGACAAACUGUACAGAGUCAUAUUGUAUAGUCCCUCUCAACUCUGGAAAUUAAUGAUAAGAACUACUAACAUGAUAUUUACUGUAGCUUUUAAAAGAAGUGUACUAAUAUUGUAUUAAUAUUUUUCUUUCGGGGGUUUGUUUGCACAUUGUGUGAUCAAACCUGUUUUAAAUUUUUCUUUGUGUGUCAUUUUUGUGCUGUAUUUUUAAAUAAUAAAAGGACAUAAAAUGAAAAAAAUAGUCCUUUCUUUUCCAUAGCAGCAGCUGUUGACUUUGUCUUAAAUCAUAGUGCUUUUCUCUAACCAGGUCUCAGCAGCCAGCCUAUCUUUAUCCUCUGGAGCCCUGGCUGGCCUCCUGCAGGCUUCCAUUCUGAUUAAUUUUAAUCGGGCAGUGAUUUUCACCCCUAACGCCAGUUGAGGUGACUUUCUAACCUCUAAUGACUAUAAUUAAUCAAUGAAGCACAGAGGCACUACGAUCAGAAACCGCUUGGCAAAAAUCCACAGCUCCAUUGAAACAGGCAGCACUAGAGCAUUACGUAUACUAGCCUGAUUCGCACCAUAGGGCUGAGCUGUACUGGACUGGCCUGGGUACGCAUCCACCAGAGUUGCUUGAGCCAUGCUGGAAAGGACCAUGUGAAAAUAAAAUAUCAGAGCCAGCACAGCCUGGUUCGUGUUGGGCAUAUCGCUUGAAUCAAAACUGUGUAGGGGAGACUGGUGGAAAUUGUAACAACUUGAAUUUCUCCAAACAGAAAUAAGCUAGAGUAAUGAAACUCACUCAGUACAUACCUGUUUAGGUUCUCUCCCUACUAGAAAGGUUUUUGCCAAAUAUCUAAAUUUGCUCGUUUUAUAAGCAAAUGUUUGCUUUUUAGAGGUGAACUUUGUACUGUCCAAUAUUUCAAACUAGCAUAAUGUUCAUCACCAUGUUGGAUAAAUGUCACAACUCUCUUGAGUUUGACUGCUAAGGUUGGGGGCAAUUGUAACGGAGUGUUAAAAUGGCCCUGAGCCAAGCAGCCAAUUUAUUUUUUAUUUUUACUAUUUUCAUUUUAAGAUAUGAAUUAUACCAAUAAUAACUUUAAAUAUCCUUGGGGUCAUGUAGAGUGCCAAAGAAGUUGUAAACAGAUAUAAACUGAGAACCAUCAGACUGUUCAAACUGUUUUGAGACUGAAUGCCCAUGCACAAAUGAGAAUAACUGUAAAUAUUGGUCAGGUACAUAAAAAUACAUAUUUCUCGCAAAAUCAUUACAUACUCUGUCUGAUAUAAUUCAUAAACACAUUUUUUUUAAGGGAAGUGCGCUAAAGUGUACAAAUUCCUCUUCUUUCCUGCCUAGCAAUUAUCUGCCAGCCUCUAGCUAACUCGACGGUUAACCCAUCAACUUCUAGUGAAUUUUUGUUUUCAUUCCAACAAUUUACAGCUCUCUGCCCCCCUGAUUGCUGAAUCAUUAACCUAUAUUUUUAACCUGACGGUUAUAUCUGGUACUAUCCCCAAGAUUUGGAAGGCGGCCCAUAAAAUAUUAGAAUCCUUGAUUCCUUCUCAGCUGAGAUGUUUCUUAUCUUUGAAAUGUAUUUCUAAAUGUACAUCAGUUGAGUUUUUAUACCAGGUCAUAGUACUAUCUCUGCUGCAUCCCUAGUUAUAAAUGAUGUGUUUAACUGUAUGGAUAAAAGGCAACAUUGUGCUACCCUCUUCAUUGACCUGAUAUGUUUCAUCACUCACUGCUAAUUCACAGGCUUUCCUCAAUCGGCCUGGAGUAGGCUGCAUGUAACUGUUAAAAAAAAUGACUUGACAGAUCGAACUCAAUGUGUAUUGACUGAUGGUGUUAAAUCAGGUUUUCUGGACAUUACAAAAAGGUGUCCCGCAGGGGUUGAUUCUGGGUCCUGUACCUUUUACUGUUUACGUUAACAAUAUUAAUUGUGAAAAAUUGUAACUUGUAAACGUAUGCCGAUGAUCCUGUGGUGUAUGCUAUUGCCCCCACGGUUGACCAGGCUCUAUCUGAAGUACUGUCUGCCUUCAUUCUAUUACAGAAAAACUUUGAUCUGAAGUGAAUUUUAAAUGCAUAAAAAUAACUGAUUUUAAGCAUAUGUACUUUGGAUUAUGUCCAUAUUGAUCUUGUCCCUACUUGACAUCUAUCCAGAUGUUUGUGUCUUUUAAAAAGCAUAUUGAGAAGUUGAGGAUAAAAAUGAUCUUUUUCUAUAGAAAUAUGUCUGCCUCUCGCCAAAUAGAAAGCAAAUUAUUCAGUCAACAGUCCUAUUGGUCCUAGACUAUGGCGACUUCAUAUGAACGCAGCUGCCACUUCAUAAAAAGCAAUUAGAUGCAGUUUAUCAUAGCGCACUGUGCUUUAUGACAGGCAACUGCAUGAUGAUGUUGCACUCAUCACUGCAUUCUCUACUGGAAAGUUGGUUGAUUUUCACGUAGGUUAUUACAUUGCUGUUUUCAUUAUAAAGGCCUUUUAUAAAAAGUCCCCCUGUACCUAAUAUCAUUGCUAAAGAACAUUUUUAAAGCUGAUAUACCUAACUCCGUAGAGACCAAAGUAAUUUCCAGAGUUAACAUCGCUGAGACCGGGGUAACUCGUAACAUACACACUCAGUCUCAGCGAUGUUAACUCUGGAAAUUACUUUGGUCUCUACUGGGUUAAGUAUAUCAGCUUUAAAAUGUUAUGUUCUGGUGCCUCUAGGGCAAUUCAGAAAGCUGAUUGAGGACCUUUUUAAUGAUGAAUGUGUUUGGUUUUUUAAAGACUUUUUCUUUCUGCUUGCAUUUUGUAUUCAUAUUGGUGUUUUUUCUGUAAUUAAUGUAUAGUAUUAGUCAAAAGUUUGGACACACCAACUCAGGGUUUUUCUUAAUUUUUACUAUUUUCUACAUUGUAGAAUAAUAGUGAAGACGUCAAAACUAUGAAAUUACACAUGGAAUCCUGUAGUAACCAAAAAAGUGUUACAAAUCAAAAUAUAUUUUAUAUUUGAGAUACUUUAAAGUAGCCACCCUUUGCCUUGAUGACCGCUUUGCACACUCUUGGCAAGGAGUUCCCACACUUGUUGGCUGCUUUUUCUUACCUCUGCUGUCCAACUCAUCCCAAACCAUCUCAAUUGGGUUGAGGUCGGGUGAUUGUGGAGGCCAGGUCAUCUGAUAUGCAUCACUCCAUCGCUCUCCUUCUUGGUCAAAUAGCCCUUACACAGCCUGGAGGUGUGUUUUGGGUCAUUGUCCUGUUGAAAAACAAAUGAUAGUCCCACUAAGCUCAAACCAAAUGGGAUGGCGUAUUGCUGCAGAAUGCUGUAGUAGCCAUGCUGGUUAAGUGUGCCUUGAUUUCUAAAUAAAUCACUGACAAUGUCACCAGCAAAGCACCAUUACACCUCCUCCUCCAUGCUUCACGGUGGGAACCACACAUGCGGAGAUCAUCCUAAUCUGCAUUUCACAAAGACACGGUGGUUGGAACCAAAAAUCUCAAAUUUGGACUCAUCAGACCAAAGGACAUCUUUCCACCGGUCUAAUGUCCAUUGCUCGUGUUUCUUUGCCGAAGCAAGUCUCUUCUUCUUAUUGGUGUCCUUUAGUAGUGGUUACUUUGCAGCAAUUUGACCAUGAAGGCCUGAUUCACGCAGUUUCCUCUGAACAGUUGAUGUUGAGAUGUGUCUGUUACUUGAACUCUGUGAAGAAUUUAUUUGGGCUGCAAUCUGAGGUGCAGUUAAUUGCCCAUUUCUGAGGCAGGUAACUCUAAUGAACUUAUCCUCUGCAGCAGAGGUAACUCUGGGUCUUCCUUUCCUGUGGUGGUCCUCAUGAGAGCCAGGUUCAUCAUAGCGCUUGAUGGUUUUUGUGACUGCACAAAGUUCAUGAAAUGCUCCGUAUUGACUGACCUUCAUGUCUUAAAGUAAUGAUGGACUGUAAUUUCUCUUUGCUUAUUCUUGCCAUAAUAUGGACUUGUUUUUUUUACUAAAUAGGGCUAUCUUCUGUAUUCCACCCCUAUGUUGUCACAACACAACUGAUUGGCUCAAACGAAUUAAGAAUUCCACAAAUGAACUUUUAACAAGGCACACCUGUUAAUUGAAAUGCAUUCCAGGUGACUACCUCAUGAAGCUGGUUGAGAGAAUGCCAAGAGUGUGUAAAGCUGUAAUCAAGGCAAAGGGUGACUACUUUGAAGAACCUCAAAUAUAAAAUAUAUUUUGAUUUGUUUAACAAUUAUUUGGUUACUACAUGAUUCCAUAUGUGUUAUUUCAUAGUUUUGAUGUAAAAAAAGUUUUUUUUAAAAAUCUUGAACGAGGAGGCAUGUCCAAACUUUUGACUGGUACUGUAAUUCAGGGCUUAUCUGUAAAACAUACCUUGGUAUUAGUAUGACUCCCUGAUAAAAUAAAGAUAAAACUGAAUAAAAGUGUGUUUA
ensembl:lncRNA